CCCGCCUUAGCUCAGCUGGGAGAGCGCGAGACUGUAAUGGCUCCCUGAUAUCUUGAGGUCCUCCGUUCGAUCCGGGGAGGCGGGA